rnacentral:rRNA from 1 species
AUUGAACGCUGGCGGCAUGCCUUACACAUGCAAGUCGAACGGCAGCACGGGGGCAACCCUGGUGGCGAGUGGCGGACGGGUGAGUAAAGCAUCGGAACGUAUCCUGGAGUGGGGGGAUAACGUAGCGAAAGUUACGCUAAUACCGCAUAUUCUGUGAGCAGGAAAGCAGGGGAUCGCAAGACCUUGCGCUCUGGGAGCGGCCGAUGUCGGAUUAGCUAGUUGGUGGGGUAAAAGCCUACCAAGGCGACGAUCCGUAGCGGGUCUGAGAGGAUGAUCCGCCACACUGGGACUGAGACACGGCCCAGACUCCUACGGGAGGCAGCAGUGGGGAAUUUUGGACAAUGGGCGCAAGCCUGAUCCAGCCAUGCCGCGUGAGUGAAGAAGGCCUCGGUGUAAG